rnacentral:rRNA from 1 species
AUUGAACGCUGGCGGCAGGCCUAACACAUGCAAGUCGAGCGGCAGCGGAAAGUAGCUUGCUACUUUGCCGGCGAGCGGCGCACGGGUGAGUAAUGUCUGGGAAACUGCCUGAUGGAGGGGGAUAACUACUGGAAACGGUAGCUAAUACCGCAUAACGUCGCAGGACCAAAGAGGGGGACCUUCGGGCCUCAUGCCAUCAGAUGUGCCCAGAUGGGAUUAGCUAGUAGGUGGGGUAACGGCUCACCUAGGCGACGAUCCCUAGCUGGUCUGAGAGGAUGACCAGCCACACUGGAACUGAGACACGGUCCAGACUCCUACGGGAGGCAGCAGUGGGGAAUAUUGCACAAUGGGCGCAAGCCUGAUGCAGCCAUGCCGCGUGUAUGAAGAAGGCCUUCGGGUUGCAAAGUACUUUCAGCGGGGAGGAAGGUGUUGAGGUUAAUAACCUCAGCAAUUGACGUUACCCGCAGAAGAAGCACCGGCUAACUCCGUGCCAGCCGCCGCCGUAAAAC